rnacentral:lncRNA from 1 species
UUUUUUUUUUUUUUUUUUUUUUUUGGUUAAUAUUCAAGGCAGGCAGCACCUGUUAGCUUGCUGGGAAGGCAAGUUAGUAUCUUUGAUGUAGUGCUUGAUUUUCAUUUUCUCUGGGUGGCCAAACAUGUGACCUCGAUGUUCUUGGGAGCUCCUGGCUAAAGGGUGUGUUUAUCCCCAGGUAUUAAGAUCUGUGUCAGAGCAGACAAGUGUCCAGUCAGCCUGAGAAAGUUACAGAUGGCUGAUGGAGGUCAAAGAGAGUGGGUACGUCAUGAGGGAAGUGCAGUUGGUAGGGGAGCGUGUGGACCCCAAACCCCAGGUCCCUGGAAGUUCCAGAAUGAUUGUUUUCUGCUAAUAUGUUCUCAGUAACUGGUUAGAGCAUGUGCUGCUCCUGCUGCUCCUAUUACUAAUUAAUUAUUAUAUGCCAAUUAAAUAUACUUAAUGUGUCAGGAUACCCUAAUACCUGACAAUACAUCAGGUAUUUAUACCUGACACUUAAAUACAUCAGGUUAACUUUUCUGUGUUCAGACAUUGUGGUUAGUUAUUCAUAUAGCACAAUAAUCUAAAAACAUUGGUGAAAAUUGGAAUAUUGAUUACUAUGAUAGCGUAUUGCCGACCUGAAGAAGAGAAUGUUUUCUCAGAAAAACAUAAUUUAAUGAUGGUUCUGAGAGAGAGUGUUCUAAGCUUCUGGGCAGCUAGCAAUCACUGUGUGGUUUGCUUUGUGCUACUCAACUCUCUCUCCCACUCCUACUCCCCCCAAAAAAGGAGUUAGAAGAAGUGGAUGGAGCAAUAAAAAGAGUAAACUUUUAGUUCCAUUUUUUAAAAAUGAAAGUCAUAACCCUGGGAAUGAAAAUAUGGACUUUAAUGCAGAGAAUCAUUUUUCUGUAUUAGAACUUUAGACACUGCAGAAGUGUAUAUUGUGUUCUUGGGUUUGUGUGGGAGGAGAAGUGCAUAGAUAAAUUGUAAGCGGUAGUCAAGAGUUUUACAUUUUACUUUUAUAUUCAUAUUUAUAUUCUUGCAUAGUAGUUCUCUCAAAGAUUUUUGACAGAUACUUAAAAUAAUAGAUUUUAGGGAUCCCUGGGUGGCACAGCGGUUUAGCGCCUGCCUUUGGCCCGGGGCGCGAUCCUGGAGACCCGGGAUCGAAUCCCACGUCGGGCUCCCGGUGCAUGGAGCCUGCUUCUCCCUCUGCCUGUGUCUCUGCCUCUCUCUCUCUCUCUCUCUGUGUGACUAUCAUAAAUAAAAACAAAACAAAACAAAACAAAGCAAAACAAAAAAAAUAAUAGAUUUUAAUUCAACAUGCACACAAAUACAUAAUUGAAAAAAAUGUUUUGUGAAAAGAUACUCUUAUACUGUAAUAUUCUAUUUUUUUUCUAUUCUGUUCUUUAAAACAAUGUAGGUUGUAGGCCACUAAACUGAUUUUGGGGCCCACUAAUAGGUCGCAACCUACAGUUUGAAAAAUACUAUUUAAAAUAUAAUGUGAUUGCUAAUAUGUCUUUGGGUUGAUCUCUGUUACUGAAAAUUAUUUAGGUAGAGUCACUUGAAAUCAUUUCCCCCGCCCCCAAUCUUUCUAGUUUGCCGUUGAAAUGGUGGCAGCGCGAUAAUUGUAACCUGCAUAACACAUAAUCAUCUUUGAUAAGUUUAAUUCUGCUGCUGAACAUUGGAAUUAAUGCCCAUGGUAACUGAAUGUGAAAAUACCUAUACUUACCAUUGUAAUAAGUUGGCUAAAUGUUAUGUGGAAAAUCAGAUGGAGAGGAGGUUCCUUCUGUUGUAGGCAUUUUUAAAAUUCCCAGAUACAUGGGUUAAGUACUAACUGCUCCUGUGAUCUAGGAAAAUCUAUUACAUGUAUGGGAUUAACUUGUUUCUUAAUUAUAUUUAGAAGAUUAAAAAUACCAUUUAAAAAAUAAGAUGCUGUGUUGAAAUCAUAAUGUUGCCAUAUGUUAAAUUGUGACACUAUUUUAUGAUUCUUUGGUUCUGACAUCCCCGAUAAAAUAAAUGCAGCUCCAGAAAACAAUGCAUUUUAAAAUGCCGUGAAAUGUACCCAUGUUAUAUAUUUAGAACACAGCUGUAUAGAAGAGGAUGUUGUUUUAUGUAAAAUAGCAGGUUUCACACUUGAUGUAUCUGGAAGAGCUUUAUAAAACAAAGCAUUAAGUGUGAACUGCCCCAUUUUUAUUCAAGGUUUAUGAGAUUCCAGAAGUACAGUUAUAUUGCCUUUGCUUUAAAAUGCAAUUCGCAGUCAAAUACAUCUUCCCUUUCUUUUUUUUUAAUAAGUUUCAGUGGGAUGAAGCUUAAAGAGUCUUGUACCUUGUAUCCAUUUCCUCAGGCUGAAGACAUUGAGGUGAACUCUGAUUUCGCAUGGUCUGAGACUUAAUUUUGAAAUGUUGCUUUGUGGUUAACGCAAUGGGCAAGUCUUCCUAUUAAAUCUAAGGCGCUAUCAAUGAAAGGCAAACCAUAAACCUCUUAAUACCAUAUCCAUAUUUGGGUUUGUGCACCUGCAGACACGUUUUCUGUAUUCGAUUUGUCAUUGUUCACCAUAGAACCUGUCACCGUCUGUAUUUCGGCUUUUUGGAUUUCUCAUCUACUUGAUGUUGGCCCAAGACAUUGCUUCAGGUCCUGCCUGUAGUGCACAGGGCCUACCUGGCAGCACUUGCCGGUCACCAGAGAUGCACAGGUGUAUCAGAUCCACUGAGUUACACUCUCGUGCAUUUCUCCCAUCCAUGCUGCUGGACCUCAAUUCUUUCUGUGCAGCUCCGUGUAAAAGUCUCUUGUUUGCCAUUUGUGAGGUCAUAGUAAAUAAUACAGAACCCACAAAAAA